rnacentral:rRNA from 1 species
AGAGUUUGAUCCUGGCUCAGAUUGAACGCUGGCGGCAUGCUUUACACAUGCAAGUCGAACGGUAACAGGGAGCUUGCUCCGCUGACGAGUGGCGAACGGGUGAGUAAUGCAUCGGAACGUACCCAGUCGUGGGGGAUAACGUAGCGAAAGUUACGCUAAUACCGCAUACGUCCUGAGGGAGAAAGCGGGGGACCGUAAGGCCUCGCGCGAUUGGAGCGGCCGAUGUCGGAUUAGCUAGUUGGUGGGGUAAAGGCCUACCAAGGCGACGAUCCGUAGCGGGUCUGAGAGGAUGAUCCGCCACACUGGGACUGAGACACGGCCCAGACUCCUACGGGAGGCAGCAGUGGGGAAUUUUGGACAAUGGGGCAAACCUGAUCCAGCCAUGCCGCGUGAGUGAAGAAGCCUUCGGUUGUAAAGCUCUUUCAGACGGAAAGAAAACGCAUCGGUGAAUACCCGGUGUGGAUGACGGUACCGUAAGAAGAAGCACCGGCUAACUACGUGCCAGCAGCCGCGGUAAUACGUAGGGUGCGAGCGUUAAUCGGAAUUACUGGCGUAAAGCGUGCGCAGGCGGUUACGUAAGACAGAUGUGAAAUCCCCGGCUCAACCUGGGAACUGCGUUUGUGACUGCAUAACUAGAGUACCGNAGANGGANGUGGNAUUUCNCGUGUAACAA